UGUUGGUCCUAUCCUCAACGUCUCUCCAGCUUUGCAGGACCUGUCAGCCUCUGUUCACUGUUGGCCUUGCCUCUGAGAGCCCAGGGUCCCCAAAUGCCACAGCAGGGCAUCGGAAUGGGACUUUAACAGAGAACUGAGUAAGCUGUUCCUGCUUCUAAACUCAGCAGUUAAUGGUGUGCUAAGUGACAGUCACAGAGCCUCAGCACUGGAAGGAUCCUCAGUAACCCAUCCUGCCACUGAGUCACCAAAGGUGAAGGGGCCUCAGGGUCCACUGUGCAGGUGAGGAAGCUGAUGUCCAGAAUGGGAAAUGACUGACCCAAGAACACAAAGCAUCCAAGAGUCAGUCACUGGUGUGAAGGAGAGCCAAUGGCCAAGGCACCUAAGUCUAUUCACAAACUUUAACUCGUGAUUCUGAUUCUGUCAUCUUGGCACACAUGGACUACGUCUAAUUCCCCUUCCAAGGGAGGGCCUUCACGUGCUUGAGGACAGCCAUCAUGUAUGUUUCCUUCUGAGUCUCAGAUGGACACUCCCAGGUGCUAAUGUGGCAUGAACUCAAGGUCUUCUUCAUUCUAGAUGCCCCCUUCCUGAUGCUUGGCCCAUGGAGCAUUGAGUCUGAGCCCUGGUCCUUCCAAGGAUACUUGGGUAUCAAGAGCCAAAGGUUUAUUCCUUUGAGAUGGUGGCAUAAACCCUGGGUGGGCUUUGGUUCCAGCCUCUAAUAGCUGAAGGGGCAGGAAGGCUGUAUUUAGGGUAGCCAUCUCUAGGAUGGCAGGGGGAUGGGGGGAGAGGGAAGGGAAAAAAAUGUACA